UAUAACCGGCGAUACCCGAAUGGGGAAACCCAGUGUGAUUCGUCACACUAUCAUUAACUGAAUCCAUAGGUUAAUGAGGCGAACCGGGGGAACUGAAACAUCUAAGUACCCCGAGGAAAAGAAAUCAACCGAGAUUCCCCCAGUAGCGGCGAGCGAACGGGGAGGAGCCCAGAGCCUGAAUCAGCAUGUGUGUUAGUGGAAGCGUCUGGAAAGGCGCGCGAUACAGGGUGACAGCCCCGUACACAAAAGCGCAUGUGCUGUGAGCUCGAUGAGUAGGGCGGGACACGUGGUAUCCUGUCUGAAUAUGGGGGGACCAUCCUCCAAGGCUAAAUACUCCUGACUGACCGAUAGUGAACCAGUACCGUGAGGGAAAGGCGAAAAGAACCCCGGCGAGGGGAGUGAAAAAGAACCUGAAACCGUGUACGUACAAGCAGUGGGAGCACAGGUUUACCUGUGUGACUGCGUACCUUUUGUAUAAUGGGUCAGCGACUUAUAUUCUGUAGCAAGGUUAACCGUAUAGGGGAGCCG
rnacentral:rRNA from 1 species